CCAGUCGGCCGGGCAGUCGCGACCUCGGGGCUCACGCCCCGGUGUCGAGGAAAGUCCGGGCUCCAUCCGGCACGGUGGUGGGUAACACCCACCCGGAGCGAUCCGCGGGACAGUGCCACAGAGAGCAGACCGCCGCCGACGCCCUGCGGGGCACCGGCGGUAAGGGUGAAAGGGUGGUGUAAGAGACCACCGCGGCCUCGGCGACGAGGUCGGCACGGUAAACCCCACCGGGAGCAAGGUCAGACAGGGAACGUUCGAGGGCGCCGGCCCGAGUUCCCGGGUGGACCGCUGGAGGUCGUCGGCAACGGCGAUCCGAGAGGGAUGGCUGCCGAUCACAGAACCCGGCUUACAGGCCGGCUGGUCCG
rfam:Brachybacterium sp. P6-10-X1, complete genome.